rnacentral:sRNA from 1 species
CAUACCUCACUUGAGGUUGACAGGAGUGGCCAGCAGUUAGUGCCUGUGGUCACGUAAUACACUAAGUCAAUACCUGUGGAGUGAAAUCUGGUCUCUAUAAAAAAUACAAAAAAAAUGGCGUGAGCCACCGCACCCAGCAUGUGGUAUUUAUGAUUCUAAGUGCCAUUUCAAAAAUCUGUUUGUUCUUUUUUAUUCUCUGGUCCACUAAAGAGUAAUCUUUACUGUGGACUUUAUUUCAUAUUUUUAUUUGUCCUAAUACUAAGCGGUAGCUUCUCAUUUCUCUGUUUCUUGAUUUUGGAGAGCAAGUCUAUGCUUAUCUAUAGAAAUAAUCAGUUUGUAAACUUAACGUUCUCCUUGAAGAGUUUUUGAAUUUUCAUGUGGCAACUUAUUUUUCUGUUCACAUUCUUGACAGAGUAGACCCUCCCAGGUCAUCUGCACUUCUGAUAUCUUUUGAAAGUGAAAUACACCAUUAAAAAAAAGCCCAGCUAUAUGAUGAAGCUGUCACGUAAUAUUAGUAUAUUUUCUAUUUCAAUAACAAGGUGAUCUGAUUUGUACUAAGUGUAAUUAAUGUAAUACAAUCUGCCCAAACUUUGGUGCUUCCUUUUCAUUUAAUUCAUAUAUCAAAAUAAAAAUAUUAGGCAAUACUAGAAAAAUACUCAUGGCCAUUCAUAGCCAUGCAGUCUUAUUGGCUAAUAAAAAUAGCGACUUUAGUCUCUAAUAGUCCUGCACAUAGCUGUCUUAUAUUUUUAAGAAUUUUGUUGGUUUCUGAGAUUCUCAAUUCUCUUUUAUAUCUGAUCAAAU